CUGCCCUAUGAGAAUUUAAAUGGCCGCGGUAUUUUGACCGUGCAAAGGUAGCAUAAUCAUUAGUUUUUUAAUUGAAAGCUGGAAUGAAAGGUCGGAUGAGAAAAUUACUGUCUCUAUCUAAAUUAUUUAGAAUUUUAUCUUUAAGUAAGAAAGCUUAAAUUAAAAUAGAAGACGAGAAGACCCUAUAGAGUUUUAUAUAUUUUAAUUUAAGAUAAUUUUAGAAUUAAAAAAUUUUUAGAUUAAUAUUUAUUUAGUUGGGGUGAUUGAAAAAUUAGGAAAACUUUUUUUAUUAUUAUAACAUUUAUUUAUGAUUAUAUGAUCCUUAAAUAAAGAUUAAAAGAAAAAAUUACCUUAGGGAUAACAGCGUAAUUUUUUUAAAGAGUUCAAAUCGAAAAAAAAGAUUGCGACCUCGAUGUUGGAUUAAAAUAAAAUUUUGGUGUAGGAGCUAAAGUAUUUGGGUCUGUUCGACCCUUAAAAUUUUACAUGAUCUGAGUUUAAACCGGCGU
rnacentral:rRNA from 1 species